rnacentral:rRNA from 1 species
AACCCUAAAAAGUUCUCUAGGCACAAAAAUUUGGUCCUAAUUUUAAAAUCUAUUUUUUCUUAACCUACACAUGCAAGUCUCCCCAUCCCCGUGAGUACACCUUUACCCCCACCCGGGCUAACAAGGUCGGAAUUAGGCACUAUGAUUAGCCCAAGACACCCAGCAACAGCCACACCCAUAAGGGUCACAGCAGUGAUCAACAUUAGUAAUAAGUGUCAACUAGAUCUAGUUAAAGAAAAUAGAGCCGGCAAAUCUGGUGCCAGCCGCCGCGGCUAAACCACAGGCUCAAAUUGAUUUUUUCCCGGCGUAAAGCGUGAUUAAAGCACUAGCAAACUAGAGUCUAACUCAAACUGAGCAGUGAUAUGCCUGUUUAGAAGAACCCUAAAGACGAAAGUUACUCUACCCUAACAACUUGAAUCCACGAUAGCUAAGACAUAAACUGGGAUUAGGUACCCCACUAUACUCAGCCUUAAACUUUAAAUUACUUCCCCCAU